rnacentral:ncRNA from 1 species
UCGGUUCCGGUUCACCCCGAGCAGCACACCCGGGGACCCGGCGACC